AGCAGUAGCCGCGGGAAAACGAAGGGGGCUAGCGUUGUUCGGAAUUACUGGGCGUAAAGCGCACGUAGGCGGAUAUUUAAGUCAGGGGUGAAAUCCCAGAGCUCAACUCUGGAACUGCCUUUGAUACUGGGUAUCUUGAGUAUGGAAGAGGUGAGUGGAAUUCCGAGUGUAGAGGUGAAAUUCGUAGAUAUUCGGAGGAACACCAGUGGCGAAGGCGGCUCACUGGUCCAUUACUGACGCUGAGGUGCGAAAGCGUGGGGAGCAAACAGGAUUAGAUACCCCUGUAGUCCCUGUCUCUUAUAC
rnacentral:rRNA from 1 species